CUCCCUGCCCGAGACCCCUGGGGGGUCUCGGUGUUCUGGUCUGUGUCCCAGUUUUCCGCUACGAGCAUCUGAGCCCCAGGUUAUUAAGGAAAGGGUCCCCGUGGGGACCUCAGUUACGGGGCUGCUCCCGGCGGUCCGCGUUCUCUGGGAACCCUGUCUGUGUGCAGGAGGACAGCCAGCCAGAAACCCAUCAGACAUGUGCGGCGACCCCGCCCACCCGGCCGGGCCCAGGGCUUGUCCAGACAAGGCUGCGGCGGGCAAGAAAGAAGGCGUUUUCCCGAUAGAGCCCCAGCAAGGGGACAGGGAGGCUUCUGUGCCCACAGAAGGAGUGGAGAUGGCCUUCCCGCGCAGAGGCAACUCCUUUCUGCAACUGGGCCCAGUGCUGUCCAGCCGGAAGCUGACCGUUGCCACCACCUCCACAGCCAUCAGCUGCUGCAAGCCUGGGUUUCUCCAGGAAUCUCCUAGCCAAGCCUCUGCUCCUGGCGUGACACCUUCAGUCUCUUCUCAGUACAAAGUCUUCGACAACAGUGGGAGCCAGAACUUGCCCUCCAACUUCUCAAACCCCUCCUCCAACCCCUCCGCCCCCACUCAACAGAAAAGCACUGUCUUCAGAACGGGCCGUCCAGCCCUCACUGAGUCACCUCUCCACGUCCCUGCCCACCACCGCCCCUCAGACGCGCGCCUCUUCCUGCCUUUCCCGCUGCCUGGAGCCGUGUCUCCAGCCUCCCCGCAGGUCAGGAACUGCUGUGGCCGACGGAGGCGGUGGGUGCGCUCCGUCUCUGACUUCUCCACGGCCUGCUGGCUGCGUGGAGAGUUUACCAGAUGAUGGGGCUGCCGAUGGAGGCGCUUGGACAGUGCAGGUCCGGCAGAAGGUCAUCACUGACCAGGUUGGCCGCUGGGUAGUGAGAAACACUGGCAGGCUGGAUCCAGGUGCCGGAACUUUGGGACGUGUUUGUUACAGCAGCUAGCAUUCCUACCUGACUGAUACACGUAACACAGACAAAGGCAAAACUGACCCCGUGACCGUGCCCCAAGGGGACCCACAGUCCCUUUAGAUAGUGAACGAGGUGCCAGAGGCAGGAGAUGGCUUCCUUGCGGAGGGGACAUGAGAACUGAGACCUGAGGCCCCGCCAGGCCGAGCUGCAUCAGGGUUCAGUUGCUCUGAGGGAGGAAAAGAUGGAGUGUCCGGGCCCAGGACUCCGGGGCAGCUUGACCUCAUGGGACCUGAACGACCAACAGCCUCAGUGCCUCAGCUGCAAAGCGGGGCCACGAGCCGGCCCUCCCCGGGUGAAGGCGCCGCCCUGCUGCUGGGAACCUCCGG
ensembl:lncRNA